rnacentral:rRNA from 1 species
UACAGAGGCCACAAGCGUUAGGCGGAAUCACUGGGCUUAAAGCGUGUGUAGGCGGGAUGGUAAGUACCUUGUGAAAAUCCCACGGCUCAACCGUGGAAAUGCUUGGUAUACUGCCGUUCUUGAAUCACCUAGGGGCAGCUGGAACUGAUGGUGGAGCGGUGAAAUGCAUAGAUAUCAUCAGGAACGCCAAUGGUGCAGACAAG